rnacentral:tRNA from 3 species
GGUGGGGUUCCCGAGCGGCCAAAGGGAGCAGACUGUAAAUCUGCUGUCAUCGACUUCGAAGGUUCGAAUCCUUCCCCCACCA